UNGCAGGGGCUGGGUUCUUAAGAUGGC
rnacentral:piRNA from 1 species